AGCCAUGCAUGUCUAAGUAUAAGCGAAUAUACUGUGAAACUGCGGACGGCUCAUUAUAUCAGUUAUAGUUUCUUUGAUAAUGUUUAUUAUUUGGAUAAUUGUAGUAAUUCUAGAGCUAAUACAUGCAUAAAGAUCCGACUUUCGGGAAGGAUUGCACUUAUUAGAAUGAAACCAUCUUUUGUUUGGUGAAUCAUAAUAAUUUAGCGGACCGCAGUGAGUUUGUUCUCGGCGGCGAAUCAUUCGAGUUUCUGCCCCAUCAGCUGUCGAUGAUUAGGUAUUGGCUAAUCAUGGCGAUCACGGGUAACGGAGAAUUAGGGUUUGAUCCCGGAGAGGAGGCCUGAGAGACGGCCGCCACAUCCAAGGAAGGCAGCAGGCGCGUAAAUUACCUAAUCCGGACGCCGGGAGGUAGUGACGAGAAAUAGCAUCGCGGAACACACUGUGUUUUGCUUUUGAAAUGAGUGCAAUGUAAAACUCUCAACGAUGAUCAAUUGGAGGGCAAGUCUGGUGCCAGCAGCCGCGGUAAUUCCAGCUCCAAUAGCGUAUAUUAAGUUGUUGCAGUUAAAAGCUCGUAGUUGAAUUUCUGGUUUGGUGAGGCCUGCGGCGAUUGAAUGAUCGCAUUGUUAGUGUCCGCCUAGCCAUCUUGAGAUUCGUAAGAAUCUCUCGUUUACUGUAAAAAAAUUAGAGUGUUUCAAGCAAGACGUAAAUUUGGAAUAUAUUAGUAUGGAAUAAUAAGAUAGGACUUUUGUGUUAUUUUGUUGGUUUGCCACAAGAGUAAUGAUUAAAAGGGACAGUUGGGGGUAUUCGUAUUUAGUUGUCAGAGGUGAAAUUCUUGGAUUUACGAAAGACGAACUACUGCGAAAGCAUUUACCAAGGAUGUUUUCAUUAAUCAAGAACGAAAGUUAGGGGAUCCAAGAUGAUUAGAUACCAUCGUAGUCUUAACCGUAAACUAUGCCGACUUGGAAUCGCCCAGUGUCUAUUUUUUGUGUGACUUGGGCGGCGCCACAUGCGAAAGCAAAGUCUUUGGGUUCCGGGGGGAGUAUGGUCGCAAGGCUGAAACUUAAAGGAAUUGACGGAAGGGCACCACCAGGAGUGGAGCCUGCGGCUUAAUUUGACUCAACACGGGGAAACUUACCAGGUCCGGACAUAAGAAGGAUUGACAGAUUGAGAGCUCUUUCUUGAUUUUAUGGGUGGUGGUGCAUGGCCGUUCUUAGUUGGUGGAGUGAUUUGUCUGGUUUAUUCCGUUAACGAACGAGACCUCGGCCUACUAAAUAGUACUGCUUAUGGAAACAUAGGUAGAGACUUCUUAGAGGGACAUUUCGGGUUUACCGGAAGGAAGUUCGAGGCAAUAACAGGUCUGUGAUGCCCUUAGAUGUUCUGGGCCGCACGCGCGCUACACUGACGAAUUCAACAAGUUUUUUUCGCAAGAAAAUUUCCUUGGUCGAAAGACCUGGGUAAUCUCUUAAUGUUUGUCGUGAUGGGGCUAGAUCUUUGCAAUUUUUGAUCUCCAACGAGGAAUUCCUAGUAAACGCAAGUCAUCAGCUUGCAUUGAUUACGUCCCUGCCCUUUGUACACACCGCCCGUCGCACCUACCGAUUGAGCGAUCCGGUGAAAUCUUUGGAGUGGUCUUUUCAGCAUUUAUUUGUAGAAUUGACUGCAAAAUUGAGUAAACCUUAUCGUUAGAGGAA
rnacentral:rRNA from 1 species